UACGGAGGGGGCAAGCGUUGUUCGGAAUUACUGGGCGUAAAGGGCGCGCAGGCGGCUGCUCAAGUCAGGCGUGAAAGGCCUGGGCUCAACCCGGGAAUUGCGCUUGAGACUGGGCUGGCUUGAGUGCGGGAGAGGAUGGUGGAAUUCCCAGUGUAGAGGUGAAAUUCGUAGAUAUUGGGAAGAACACCGGUGGCGAAGGCGGCCAUCUGGACCGCAACUGACGCUGAGGUGCGAAAGCGUGGGGAGCGAACAGG
rnacentral:rRNA from 1 species